UUCAGCAAUAAUAAGGACAAUGCAACAACUCAAGGUCAGAAAAUGGAUGUGCAGUGAUUAUGUUGAAUAUUUUUGACAAACACCUUCCAAUUUUGGAAUUUGAAGAAUCAAGGAGCAAAGAAUAACUGAUAGUGGUCAAAGAGGAA